GAUGAAGAAGUAAGAAUGAUGUUGGCAAAGAAUCAUUGAUGAAAUCUACGCCCUUUUGUUACUUUGCUGAAGCAAAUCCGGGCUGUGAGGCAUAAAACAAUACAAGGAAUUGGUAAUCGACUCAAUGAGAUGGAAGUAUGUGUAACGGAGGUCUUUGGAUGAAAAGAAAAGUCGGAAAGUACAGGAUAAUUAGAAAAUAAUCCAACACUGUCCACAUCUCCAGGCAAAGUAAAAACCUAUCUUUUGGCAACAUUGAAAAGUUUUGGUCUACAAACUUGUGCCCGCGCUCAAUCCCCAUAAUUAUUCAUUUGAA
rnacentral:lncRNA from 1 species